rnacentral:rRNA from 1 species
GUCGUGCGAGAACGGGGGGGCAACUCCCCAAGUACAGCGGCGCACGGGUGAGUAACACGUAGGUAAUCUACCCCUGAGUUCGGGAUAACCUACCGAAAGGUGGGCUAAUACCGGGUAUGACCACGGCGGCCACGGCCGCUGCGGUGAAAGGUGGCCUCUGCUUGCAAGCUACCGUUCGGGGAUGAGCCUGCGCGCCAUUAGCUAGUUGGCGGGGUAACGGCCCACCAAGGCUCUGAUGGCUAGCUGGUCUGAGAGGAUGGCCAGCCACACUGGAACUGACACACGGUCCAGACUCCUACGGGAGGCAGCAGUGGGGGAUAUUGCGCAAUGGGCGAAAGCCUGACGCAGCGACGCCGCGUGGGUGAUGAAGGCCUUCGGGUCGUAAAGCCCUGUCGAGGGGAAAGAACCGGCUGGGUUCGAACAGGGCUCAGUCCUGACGGUACCCCUAAAGGAAGCACCGGCUAACUCCGUGCCAGCAGCCGCGGUAAUACGGAGGGUGCGAGCGUUGUUCGGAAUCACUGGGCGUAAAGCGCGUGUAGGCGGCUCAACAAGUCUGGUGUGAAAGCCCGGGGCUCACCCCCGGAAGUGCACUGGAAACUGUCGAGCUCGAGUCCCGGA